rnacentral:tRNA from 1 species
ACCUGGGUGGCUCAGUGGUUGAGCAUCUGCCUUUGGCUCAGGUCGUGAUCCUGGCAUCUGGGGAUCGAGUCCCAAAUCAGGUU